UACGGAGGGUGCAAGCGUUAUCCGGAUUCACUGGGUUUAAAGGGUGCGUAGGCGGGCAGGUAAGUCAGUGGUGAAAUCUCCGAGCUUAACUUGGAAACUGCCGUUGAUACUAUCUGUCUUGAAUAUUGUGGAGGUGAGCGGAAUAUGUCAUGUAGCGGUGAAAUGCUUAGAUAUGACAUAGAACACCAAUUGCGAAGGCAGCUGGCUACACGAAUAUUGACACUGAUGCACGAAAGCGUGGGGAUCAAACAGG
rnacentral:rRNA from 1 species